AGUGAACGCUGGCGGUAGGCCUAACACAUGCAAGUCGAACGGCAGCACAGUAAGAGCUUGCUCUUACGGGUGGCGAGUGGCGGACGGGUGAGGAAUACAUCGGAAUCUACUUUUUCGUGGGGGAUAACGUAGGGAAACUUACGCUAAUACCGCAUACGACCUACGGGUGAAAGCAGGGGAUCUUCGGACCUUGCGCGAUUGAAUGAGCCGAUGUCGGAUUAGCUAGUUGGCGGGGUAAAGGCCCACCAAGGCGACGAUCCGUAGCUGGUCUGAGAGGAUGAUCAGCCACACUGGAACUGGGACACGGUCCAGACUCCUAAGGGAGGCAGCAGGGGGGAAUAUUGGCCAAUGGGCGCAAGCCUGAUCCAGCCAUACCGCGUGGGUGAAGAAGGCCUUCGGGUUGUAAAGCCCUUUUGUUGGGAAAGAAAAGCAGCAGGUUAAUACCCCGCUGUUCUGACGGUACCCAAAGAAUAAGCACCGGCUAACUUCGUG
rnacentral:rRNA from 1 species